rnacentral:rRNA from 1 species
AAUCAACGCUGGCGGCGUGCCUAACACAUGCAAGUCGAACGCGACUGGGGCUUCGGCCUCAGUUGAGUGGCGAACGGGUGAGUAACACGUGGGUGACCUACCUUCGAAUGGGGGAGUAACGUCCCGAAACGGGACGGCUAAUACCGCAUAACAUCCUGCCUUUGAACAGGCGGAGACCAAAGCCGGGGAGUCGCAAGACCUGGC